rnacentral:rRNA from 1 species
UACGAAGGGGGCUAGCGUUGCUCGGAAUCACUGGGCGUAAAGCGCACGUAGGCGGCUUUUUAAGUCAGGGGUGAAAUCCUGGAGCUCAACUCCAGAACUGCCUUUGAUACUGGGAAGCUUGAGUCCGGGAGAGGUGAGUGGAACUCCGAGUGUAGAGGUGAAAUUCGUAGAUAUUCGGAAGAACACCAGUGGCGAAGGCGGCUCACUGGCCCGGUACUGACGCUGAGGUGCGAAAGCGUGGGGAGCAACAGG